rnacentral:misc_RNA from 1 species
GAUGAAGAACGUAGUGAAAUGCGAUACUUGGUGUGAAUUGCAGAAUCCCGUGAACCAUCGAGUCUUUGAACGCAAGUUGCGCCCGAAGCCAUUAGGCCGAGGGCACGCCUGCCUGGGCGUCACACGUCGUUGCCCCCCCAUCUACUCCUUCGGGAUUGCGGGGGGCGGAUGAUGGCCUCCCGUGCGCCUCGCCGCGCGGUUGGCAUAAAUGCCAAGUCCUCGGCGACGCACGCCACGACAAUCGGUGGUUGCGAAACCUCGGUUGCCCGUCGUGUGCGGUCGUCGCGCAUCGAGGGCUCGAAAAAAUUGCCGGGUUCCGGCUCGGCUUUCAACGCGACCCCAGGUCAGGCGGGGUUACCCGCUGAAUUUAAGCAUAUCAAUAACGGAGGA